rnacentral:misc_RNA from 1 species
GUGAAUCAUCAAAUCUUUGAACGCAAAUUGCACUCUCUGGUAUUCCGGAAAGUAUGCCUGUUUGAGGGUCAGUUUAAUUAAAAUUGGUGUUGUUGCUACCCGUAGUGGUGUGUGCUGCAUAGUAGUUGAGUCGUUCUUUCCCUUUGGUUUCAGUGAUUUAAACUUAUGUUCGAUCUUUCAUAGUAUAUAAAUUAUUACUUCCUUUCGUAAUAUCACUUAUUAGGUUCGGUAAUUCACAUGAUUUCGCGUCUAUAUUUUUUCAUUAUUUGACCUCAAACCAGGAAAGAA